GACGAACGCUGGCGGCGUGCUUAACACAUGCAAGUCGAACGGAAAGGCCUGCUUUCCCUUGUGGAUUGCGGGUACUCGAGUGGCGAACGGGUGAGUAACACGUGAGUGAUCUGCCCCCAACUUGGGUAUAAGCCUGGGAAACUGGGUCUAAUUCCCGAUAGGACUGCAGGGUGGUGCCUGUGGUGGAAAACGAUUUUCUAGUGGUUGGGGAUGAGCUCGCGGCCUAUCAGCUUGUUGGUGGGGUAAUGGCCUACCAAGGCGGCGACGGGUAGCCGGCCUGAGAGGGUGGACGGCGACAUUGAGACUGAGAUGCGGCCCAGACUCCUACGGAAGGCAGCAGUGGGGAAGAGAGGAAGAUGGGCGGAAUCCUGGUGCAGCGAGGCAGCGUGGGGGAUGACGGCCUUCGGGUUGUAAGCUCCUUUCGACCGCGAGGAAGCCACCUGGUUGGGAGGGUGGUGACGGUAGUGGUAGAAGAAGCACCGGCUAACUACGUG
rnacentral:rRNA from 1 species